rnacentral:rRNA from 1 species
CCGUGCCGGCAGCUAACACAUGCAAGUCGAGCGCGCCUUCGGGCGAGCGGCGGACGGGUUAGUAACGCGGGGAACGUGCCCAGAUCUACGGAAUAGCCACUGGAAACGGUGAGUAAUACCGUAUACGCCCUUCGGGGGAAAGAUUUAUCGGAUUUGGAUCGGCCCGCGUUAGAUUAGGUAGUUGGUGGGGUAACGGCCUACCAAGCCUACGAUCUAUAGCUGGUUUUAGAGGAUGAUCAGCAACACUGGGACUGAGACACGGCCCAGACUCCUACGGGAGGCAGCAGUGGGGAAUAUUGGACGAUGGGGGCAACCCUGAUCCAGCCAUGCCGCGUGAGUGAAGAAGGCCCUAGGGUCGUAAAACUCUUUCGCCUGUGAUGAUAAUGACAGUAGCAGGUAAAGAAACCCCGGCUAACUCCGUGCCAGCAGCCGCGGUAAUACGGAGGGGGUUAGCGUUGUUCGGAAUUACUGGGCGUAAAGCGCACGUAGGCGGAUUAGAAAGUUAGAGGUGAAAUCCCGGGGCUCAACCCCGGAACUGCCUUUAAAACUACUAGUCUAGAGUUCGAGAGAGGUGAGUGGAACUCCGAGUGUAGAGGUGAAAUUCGUAGAUAUUCGGAGGAACACCAGUGGCGAAGGCGGCUCACUGGCUCGAUACUGACGCUGAGGUGCGAAAGUGUGGGGAGCAAACAGGAUUAGAUACCCUGGUAGUCCACACCGUAAACGAUGAAUGCCAGUCGUCGGGUAGUA